UACGUAGGGGGCAAGCGUUAUCCGGAUUUACUGGGUGUAAAGGGAGCGCAGGCGGUUUGGCAAGUUGAGAGUGGAAGCAGGGGGCUCAACCCCCUGACUGCUCCCAAAACUGUUAAACUUGAGUAUGGGAGAGGCAGGCGGAAUUCCUAGUGUAGCGGUGAAAUGCGUAGAUAUUAGGAAGAACACCGGUGGCGAAGGCGGCCUGCUGGACGAAAACUGACGUUGAGGCUCGAAGGCGUGGGGAGCAAACAGG
rnacentral:rRNA from 1 species